rnacentral:rRNA from 1 species
UACGUAGGGUGCGAGCGUUGUCCGGAAUUAUUGGGCGUAAAGAGCUUGUAGGCGGUUUGUCGCGUCUGCUGUGAAAAUCCGGGGCUCAACCCCGGACUUGCAGUGGGUACGGGCAGACUGGAGUGUGGUAGGGGAGACUGGAAUUCCUGGUGUAGCGGUGAAAUGCGCAGAUAUCAGGAGGAACACCGGUGGCGAAGGCGGGUCUCUGGGCCGUAACUGACGCUGAGGAGCGAAAGCGUGGGGAGCGAACAGG